rnacentral:rRNA from 1 species
AGGGACUAACUUUCUUUACUUAAAUUUAAUGAAUUUGAUUUUUGAGUUAAAAAGCUUAAAUUAUUUUGUAAGACGAGAAGACCCUAUAGAAUUUUACUUUCAUUAUUUUAUUUUUUAUUUUGGUGUUUAUUUAGUUAAUAAUUAUUUUGUAAGUUUUGUUGGGGCGAUAGUGAAAAUUGAAUAACUUUCAUUUUUAUUUUUCAUUAAUUAAUGUGUCAUUGAUCCCAUUUUAUGGAUUA